ensembl:lncRNA
CUUCAACUGGAGGCAUUUUCCCAUGAGAUUCAGAAGAGAACGCACACUUCCACGAACGAUAUAUCAUCGAAGAGAUAUGUGAAAAACACCUUGAGGAUUGAUUCUAAACAACGUUUACCAUGUUUCAGUCGAUAUUAUGGAGUUAAUUUGGAAAAAAGUUCGGCGUUUUGAUGACUGAAUUUUCGUUUUUUUUUGGUAGCCAAACCUGACGCACCAAACGGAGCGAUUUCUCCUAAACAAAUAAUCUUUCAGGAAAAACUGAACAUUUGCUAUCUAACUGAGAGUCUCCUCAUUGAAAACAUCUGAAGUUCUUCAAAGGACCUGAGCCCUAGGACCAUGCCUCAGGACUACCGGGCAUGAUGACUCCUUGCUGUCCCCAGCCCACCUGGCCGUGCUGCUGCUCCAGUUUCAACUGUUCCGCCUGUGAUUAUUAUUAUUUGACAAUGCUGGUCAUUUAUGAACAUUUGAACAUCUUGGCCAUAUUCUGUUAUAAUCUGAGCUGAGCUGUAGUCAAUGAACAGCAAACAUAGGUAUUCCUUUUGUCCAGGUGGGUGAGGGCAGUGUGAAGUGCAAUUAAGAUUCUGUCAUCUGUUGAUCUGUUACUGCAUACUUGGAAUGUGUCUGAAGUGGUGAUGGUGAAAUAAGUGGGUGGAUAAUCAGCGAUGGGUGUAACAUCAGUGCUCUGUGAUUUGUUUGACGGUUUUGAUUGAGCGGUGUUGUUUCCAAUUUCUUACCAUGGAACUACCGCGAGAGUUUGGAGUUUUGAAGCCAGAGGAUGAGUCUGAGUCGUAUUUGAGUGUUAUUUUUAACAAAUAAUUGCAAAUGUUCAGUUAAUAAAAUUGAAGGUUGUUUAUUUUUAUUAAAAGCACUGAUGGGUGUAAUGUUGCUUGUAUGCGUUGUAUACAGUACGUGUGCUUACUGUGACUGUCACCCUGAUAUUGGCUACACUAGGCGAGCUCCCAUGUUGUUGUGGGACAGCAGUGCUUGGCAACCGGGAGGGAAUGACACUGUUCCAGUGUUGUUGCCGCUGUGUUCCAGUGUUGUUCCCGCUGCCAUUCAUGCUCUACCCAUUAAGUAGACUGUGUCAAGGUGACAUCUAGAUGGUUAUCAUAUUAGUUAUUUAUUGUGUAUACUACUUGAACUAAAAUCAUGGAAGGGGAAAAAAAUAGCCAUGUUAGCUACUGCCGGUGAUAUAGCUACAGAGUGGGAAGCACCUCAGGUCGGCAAGAACCUUGACACAACGGCAGUACACUGGCAGUGAAGUUAGCUACCGCAGGUGACACCGCGAUGCAGCUGCCUAUUGGGAAGCAACUCAGCUCGGCAAUCCUUUAUACCUGGAAAUGCUUUGGAAUUGCUUUAUAUGUAUUUUGGGGGAUUUUCCAUUGGAUCAAUGCUGCCUUCAUAAGUGGGAAACUCUAAAAAUACUACUUGUAAACUGGGAGCAACGAGUUGUGUGAGUUCCCGGUCUUUUGAACUCGUUGGGAACGCUAAUUGGCUAAUGGCAAACAAGCUGCAUCAACCAUUAACUAAAAUGACAGCUGUCAUGCUUUUAAACAUAUUACAGUGCUGACUUAAUAGAUUAUUUUUCCUAAAUUAUGUUUUGUUGUUGGAAGUUUGUGACGUGGGAGAAGUCGGAUCUGAGAGAUGACAGACACGUUUCCCAUGAGUAAUUACCAGUUGGAGGGGCGUUAAAGUGAAAUUUUCCCAGUCGUAUGCUGGUAUUUACACAUUUACAAGAUGUACCGUAUGAACACAGCAAGUCCUUGGAUUUGGACUUCCUUUCAAAGACUCAAAAACUCAGACCAGGAGUUCUAAAAGGACAUUUGUAUUUAUUUACACUGUGGUUUUGUCCUUUGGACUGUUGUCUCUGAAUGGACUAUUCAUUUGUUGUUAAUGACAUCAUUAUUUUGUUGCUGUGUUUGUUAUGAUUUUGUAAUGAUUUGUUAUGAUUUUACUCUCAAUACACUAAUACACUGACCAAGUUA